AUGGAUCACCGAAGCCGACUACGGGGCAUAGGCCUGAACCGAAUCCCUGGGACUCAGUCCCGAGCAGCCCGGCCCCUGGUCCCCUUCCAUGUGGAACAGGAGGCAAGGGAAGGAGAAGAUUGGGAGCGAGAGGUCCCUCCUCAGAGGCCUCCUGUCUACGAGCCCACGGAAAGUGAAGAGCUGCCAGACACUAUCAUGGUUUCCAAGCCAGCACCUUACUGGGAAGGAACAGCUGUGAUAAACGGAGAAUUUAAGGAGCUCAAGUUAACUGAUCAUCGUGGGAAAUACUUGAUAUUUUUCUUCUACCCACUUGAUUUCACAUUUGUGUGUCCAACUGAAAUUAUCGCUUUUGGUGACAGAAUUGAAGAAUUCAGAUCUAUAAAGACUGAAGUGGUAGCAUGCUCUGUCGAUUCACAGUUUACCCAUUUGGCCUGGAUUAAUACCCCUCGAAGACAAGGAGGACUUGGGCCAAUAAGGUUUCCACUUCUUUCAGAUCUGACCCAUCAGAUCUCAAAGGACUAUGGCGUAUAUCUGGAGGACUCAGGCCACACUCUUAGAGGCCUCUUCAUUAUUGAUGACAAAGGAAUCCUGAGACAGAUUACUCUGAAUGACCUUCCUGUGGGUAGAUCAGUGGAAGAGACACUGCGUUUGGUUCAAGCAUUCCAGUACACCGACAAGCACGGAGAAGUCUGCCCUGCUGGCUGGAAACCUGGUAGUGAAACAAUAAUCCCAGAUCCAGCUGGAAAACUGAAAUAUUUUGAUAAAAUAAAUUGAAAAGAUACUUCAAGUCAUGAUGCUUGAGAGUUCUCAAUAAAGUUCACCGUUCAUUACC